AUGUUUAAUUUCCUCUCAGAUAUGCAAGCAUUUCAAGGCAUUUAGUAUUAUGUGCUAUUAAAAAUUCCAGGGAACAGAGUUAUUGUCAUCCACUCUACAUUUAUCUAAAAACAAGUGAAUUCUUAAAAAAAUAUGAAAUAGAUAUUUUUUGAAACAUAAAUUUAGUAAAGAAUGGACUGUUGCAAUACUGAUGCUGUAGCUCUAGAUGUGCAGUUGUUAGAACUUUAUCAAAAUGUACAAUUUAUAUUGGUUCUUUCUGUUUAAUAGCGAUAAUAAAUUAUUAAUUUCGAAGCAGGUCUCUGGUGAAUUAAAAGAUGAAACAGCAAUUUUAUUUGGUGACAAAAUUAGUUACUUAAACCAGUUAUGAACACGUUUCUAUGACUUUAGCUGUUUGAAGCCAUUACUAGAAAAGUGUUCUUCAUUUUAAUGACCCAAGAUAUUAAUAGUCUUUCUGGGCAUGUAUUGCACUCAUAUAUAUUAAGAGCUACAUUUGAAUAUGGAGAUUGGAGCCCAUAUUGUUUGCAUACCCUAAAGGAUGUAUGAUAAAUGUUGCUCUGUGUAUAAAUGACCCAGGGGAAUAAUGAUUGUCUAUGAAGACUUUCAAUUUUAGAAUCCAGCCUCUUCACUGAUACUAUGGUGAAUACUGCUUUAGAAAUGCUUAAAAUAGAGUCAAGAGCUGAAGAUUAUUUUCUUUCCAGGUGUCUAUAUGAAAUGAUUUGUGAGUCAUCCUUGCUGUCAUGCAAUCAUAGUCACUUAGACCCCAGUAAUCAGUAAUUAUUGCACCUCUUCUAGCAGGUACCAUGUAGAAAACCGAAGGAUAAUGGGAUUUAUACUGUUUUAUUACCUAGACUUUUCGCUCAUUUCUGAAGCACACUGAUAGAGUUGUACCAAAAAGUGGGAUGAAAUGCCAUUUACUGUACUGGAGGCAGGAUUUGAACCUUGGAUUUUAAGGAAGGUAUUAUAUAUUAUUUAUAUAAGCAUUGGUUUUGUUCAGCUUUUGCCAUCAACUCCUCUUUGUACUGCUUCAUUUGUAAUUCAUAUUCGUGUCUUAAGCGUAGAAAGUAUUAAAGGAUAUUUCAAAAGGCAACAGCAGAGGACAAUCAAACAAUUAGCAGACAGUUGGUGGCAGGAGCAAUGCAGAAAGUGGAAUAGUCAUCCCAGGUAUCUUUGAAAAGAUCAGAGAAUUCUCUCAUCCUUUCAGGCUGAUAUUUAUAGACUUUGCCUCUUGACUUAGUACACAGGUUACUGUGGGGUUUUUCUUCCUUUUUUCAGUUCAUCUGAAAACUUUUUUUUCCAGGAGAGAACAAAGUUCAAGUAAAACAUGACUUUGUACUUGACCCUUUCACUACAGAGAAUUAACAGGUUUGGUGGAUUCCUGGUAUUCUCCCUGGGAGAUGAGCCUAGGUCACAUAUAGCUGUGUUUUGAGUGAGCCUUUGAAUCUGCUGGACAAGAAGGUCCAUGAAAUUUUAGAAAUGACAGAAUGGCUGAGUCCAGGACAAAGCCUUCAAAACCCUUUUUUUGUCCUAGAUACAUUCAUAAUGAUGUUUGCAAUUAGUUUGUGAUAGGGGAGCAUAGAAGUGGCUUGAACAGGAUGUCACAUCCAAAAAUGUGUUGCACUGAAAACAGAGUUAAUUAAUUUUAUUGAAUAUUGAUUUAGAAACUUUCAUUCUGAUUCCUCAGUUAUUAAAUUUUUCGGUCAAGAUGGUCAGAAAAGAAGAGGUGCAGGGAAAGCAAACCUUUCCUAAAAACCCCCUUGUCCUAGUGAUUAUCACUUGUGUGACAAUUAUUACUUUAUUACACAUACUCUGCCAUGACUUAUUUUUUCUGUUGUGUUAGAGCUCACUGCUCUGCACCAGAAUAAUUUUAUGUAUUUCACAUAAUUUAUUCCUACCCCAGCACAUUAUUAAUAAUUAUCAUAAUCUGCAUUACAGUAAUGCCAAGAAUUAUCAGUUGUGGGCCAGAAAGCUGUUGUGCUCAGUGCUGUUAAAACACAUCAUGAAAGCAGUUCCAGGCAAGACAAGGUUUUCAUGUAAAAUCAUCGUGGUUGAAUGGAUAAUAGGUAGAACUGGGAGCCAGUAAUUCUUGUUUUCUAAUUCUGCUUCUGCCACUGAUUCACUGUGUGGUUGGUGCCAGCAGAGCUACUGCUGAGCCAGACACAAGUUUGCAGAUGUCUGUAUGUGUCUGUUUUCCUUGACAUAAAAUGGGAUUAAUUCCCUGCCAUGUUUGAGUGGAGAAGAAGAGCAGAUAAUGCAUUAUAUGUAUAAAAUAGAUUUGCUGUGCAGGAAGAGAGAAUGAUGCAGAAAUUUAGGCUGGAGGUUCAAGGAAGGGGUCAUCGACUCAUCCGUCAGGACCCUGAGGGUUUUUUCUGCAGAGCUGCUGCCCAACUAGACGGUCCUCACCCUGAAGGAAUUCACAGUGUUGGUUCAGCCCACAUUCAGGGCUUUGCAUCUGUCUUUUUUGGACUUUGUGAAAUUUUUGAUGGUUUUCCCUCCAGCUUGUUGAGUUCCCUGUGAAUGGUUGUCCUGCCUUCCAACACCCCACUCUCGGGUGUCAUGUGCAAGCCUGUAGAGAGCACAGUCCAUCCUAUUGACCACCUGUGAAAUCCCAGCUCCUCUCUCGGCGUGGGUAAGGCUCUUUUCCAGCAGUUAUGAAAACAUGUUACUCCAAACACUUAGAAAUUAUGAAAACUAAUGAAAACCCCCCGCACAUUUGUACAGAUUCCACAUGUGCAUUGUUUUUAUUCCAGCAUUUUGGAGUUGGCAGGUCUAACCGAAGAAUGGGAGGCAGCCCAAGCCCACAGGUUUGGAUUGGAGCUGGGCUGCAGCAUUUGCAUGUAGGCAUCUAGUCUGCUUAAAGGCAUCUUUUGCCAGUUUAAAGCUGACAAUACUCUGAAAGAAGUUAAAUGACAGUAAAACCUGUUUUACCUCUCUGUCACCAGAGCUCGAGGGGUACAAAAUGACCCCAGAGGGCAUAUUUUGUGUAAGAAAUACAGCUACCAGCCAUAGCACAGUGGGGUGCCUGAUGGUUUGCACUGCCCACAGGCUGGUACAGUUUGUGUCUGCAAGAGGGGAGGAUGAUUUCAGAGAGAGAGGACCUUGCUAACAGCCUGUCUACACCAGUCCAAAGGUGAUUUAUCCAGGGUUACAGAGUGAAAAGCAGGAGAACUCUCCGUGGUAGCACUUUGCUGUUAGCCAUGCUGAAAUAAAGUAAAAGCUUGAUUUGAACCAAUGAAAGACAAGGAAAUGCACGGUCAUAUAUAACAUGCCUGAUCCUCCCUCCCUCCUUUGUGUUUAAAUGUGUCUUAUUUUUUGAAAUGUGUUUGAGGGGGAGAAGAGGGACAUUGUGAGGGUUCCUGUCUGCACACAAUAGGGAGAUUUAGAAAUCAGGUUGCUGCCUUAACUCUGCCAGUUUAAGCCAAAGCCAUGGGGAUAUUAUUUUUGACACUGCACAGUGGAUUAUAACUUCAGUUCCCAUUACCUCUAAUGGGAUCUUUGCUUGCAAUCUGCCACUGCUACAGCCAUGAAAAUUUGUCCCUUAAUGCUAUUUUGCUAUUCCAGGUUUUUGUGUUUAAUUAUAUUAUAUAAUAAUUUGUUGCAGCAUCUACACGAUUCCUUUAGGAGUGCACUUGAAAUGCUUAUGAAUUUUUAUAAACACAAGCUGUGUAUCACUUUAAGUCUCUCAUUGCUUUUGUAAACUAUUCUGCCUUAAUACAGCAUCAUUUUUCCUCCCUUGCUGGGUGAGCACUAUCUUUUACAGUGUGGCCAUUUUGAAAAGCACAAGGAUACUAAUGCUGAGAAGCCCAAACCUCUUGUUAUUGCAUUGAUGACUUGUAAGAAAAAACACUCAGAUGUUACAGCUGCCUCCCACUUGACUCAAAUGCUAAAAAAUAAAAACAACAUGAGACACUAGUAGGUAGAAAGUUUAUCUUUAGUGGUGAAAUGCAUUAUAAUUGUAUAGAAUUAUUGACAUGAGAAAAUAGAUCUGUUGCCACAGACAUUUUUUUCAUGGAUGUAUGUUCAAACUUGUACACAAAUUAGUUUACACUUUGCUGGUUUUUUUUUCCUCAGACAUACAAGUACAGUUAACUGAUCUGCAAAAUGCUGAAGGUAUGAGAUAUAUCUAAAAAUUACCGUGCCUGAAUUAUUCACCAAACUCUGUCCUUGUGCAGGCUGCCAUCAGCUCUACAGCCCUGCAAAGCUAAUUUCUCAGAGAGAUAAAAAAUGAACAUGAUAGCUGUUGCUCUGUUUUCCUCCUUCAACUUUAUUUUAUAACCUUCUCUCUCUCUCUCUCUACGUAUGUAUAUAUUUGGUGUAGAAAGAGAUUUGUACGUCUGGAGAAAAAAACCCCAAGAUUUAUUACGCUCCUUUUAAUUUGCUUUGGAGGCAUUGCUUACUGGGGACACAGUGUGUACUGAACAGAACGUUCUAAUUAAGAACCAGAAGGCAGAUCAACCCAGUUACUCGAGGCUUUGCCACAGAUGCAUUAAUUGUUUACACGUUACUUUAUUUUUUUUCUCCCCCUUCCUUUUUGAACCAUCCACGCCAUAAGCUGGUCAGCACUAUUCUCCCACCUUCUCAAAGACAGGAAACAUUCCUACUUCUUCUGGGCAAGGAAUUAUUUUUCUAGUUACUUGUCUUUUUGGCAGUGACUGUGGGUUGGUGGUUUGUCAUUUGUGGUACGCUGGGUGUUCAAGUUGCUGUAGGCUGGGUGUGGCGGGAGCAGCAGUACAUUUCCUCCAAGCUGCUGUUAAGGAAAAAAGGCUGUAAUUUGAACACUGGUUAAAGGAGCUCAUGUUCAAAUGUGUAAUUUUAACCAGGGAAGAGCUUAGUUGUGGGGAAUCUUCCUCCGGAGCUGUAGCCUUUGAGGUGGGAUGUGCUGGGGUCUGUUUUUGCUUUGGGUCUCAGGAGCGUUAGAGGGGAUUGCAUUAAGUUAAUACACACACGAGGUGAUGGAUGCUGGAACUUCUUGAUAGCUGUAUAUGGAAUAAUGUUGUGAUUAUUUGCUGAAUCCAGGAGUUGAGAGCAAAACUGUCAUCCUUUGCCUCCCACUGGUGACCCCAUCUAAUGCCUCCCGAAGAAGGGUGUGUGAUUUGCUCAACUGUUCUAUCCAGCCUUGGGCAAAACAUGCAGAGGUGUGUGAAUUCUAAGGUGGAAAUGCCACAGUCCAGUGUGUGUGAUCUGGAGUAAACCAAACAAUGCUUUUUUAUGAUCUGAGUUGCUUUUUUUAGCUCCCUCAGCUCAACAUUUACAUUCAUGUUUUAAAGAACUAUUGAAAUAACAGAAAAAAUGGUCUUGUAAAAGCGAUGCCUCUGGCAGGCAGAAAGGAGCAAAUUUCUCAUGAAAGAAUCUAUUUUUGGUAUGAUUUCUUUCCCAGUUGGAGAGGAUAGCAAGGUUUGGAGAGGAUGGCUCCAUGUGAUUUCACGUAGUCCAUCCUUAUGCCUUUCUAAUUGGUUUGUUUUAAGUAGAAGCAUUUCUAAUUAGCAGCAGAGCACUAACUCAACAGGGCACUACCUACAGUGAACUGGUACUUUGACCAUUUGGGAGUGUUCUCAAAAUAAAUAAAAGGCCUAACUCUGCUGUCUAGUGCCAAGUAAUUAAUUUCUUUCAGGGAAAGAAACAAAAUAGUAAACUACCAUACUGUGUGAGUAAGUGUGGUGUGAUUUGUUCCUGAAUUUUAAAAUUUGACAGAUUUUUUUCAAAUGUCUGCUUUCAAAGAGGAACAUAAUUGUGUUUAUAUAAAUGAGGUAGAAAUGGUCAGAGCAGACUUUGGGAAAAGUCAAGAAAGAAAACACUUUUUUUCUUGCUUUAAAUUCAUUACUUAGAAUGUAAUAAAAACAAUAGUAUUUUUCUGUAGUUUAUGUAUUUAUGUAUGACAAAAUCUGUUGUAUGUCCACGUUUAAACAUACAUUAAAAGAAUUCUGUAAAGUACUAUGUUAACACAUAAUGACAACCGAUUUCAACCAUAGGAAAAAAGUCUCCUGUAAAAUGCUAAUAACUAAAGUACAUUUACACAGUGUCUAUAUAUUAUUUAAAGGUAAUAUACUGCUGUUGCACAGGCAGAUGUCUGCACUACAUCAUCAACCCUUUAACUUUGCUUUGCUUGCAAGUUAUUUUUCUCCUUUUUCAGAGACCAACAUUUCUGUGUCUUAUAUAUGUAACUUCGGAGAUUUGCUUUAAAAGUUAUAUGUGACAUUAAUAAAUCUCUGUCUUCAAGCAGUUGAUAUUUUCUUAGUAGCACUCUUUCUCAAUAGCUUCUCUUUCAGAUGUUAAUCUUAAAUUGAAAAUUAAAGAUUAAAGAUAUUUCAGAAAUUGGUGAGAAUUCUGAAUGAUAUUUUGUUGAGUGCAACAUGAUUUGACUUGAUCAGAGGCCGUGAUAUUUUUGGUGCUUUCAGGAAUGCAUAAAUUAUUGAAAGAAAACAAAACAUAAGGAAAUGCUGGCCACUAAAACUCAGAAAGGGCUAAAAAACCUACAUUUGAAGACCUGCAAGAAGAUGGAUAUUUCAUAAAAUGCACAGCAUGAGAAGAAGCAUUCUUAAAAAAAACCCCAAACAAACCAACAGCAGCUGGCUACCACCUGAAGUCACAUUUCUUCUCAUUGUCUGCCAACGAUUGGCCUCACUGUGGAGCAGCAGUGGUGACUAGAAAAGAUCAUGAAACUUCCCAGAUUUAAAGAGCCUAUUGAUAAGGAAGAGUGGAAAUGCCAGCACCGGUUAAUAUUCCAUUUUCUGUUUUGUUAACUACUGCAAGAAAGCAGAGUAUCCUCAGUUGGAAGGGACCCACAAGGAACAUCAAGUCCAACUCUUAAGUGAAUGGCCCAUACAGGGAUUGAACCUUAAGAAAAUAAAGAAAACUUAAGAUUUAAGAAAACCUUUUCUUGCAGGUUUUAGAGACUCCAUUUAAGAAGAUGGAUACUGCAGUGCAGUUCAAUUAUGGGUUUUGCCUUUAUUGAUGACAUCAAGCAUCCGUAGGAUGAAUGUUGCUCGUCAUUGCUUGCUGAGUAUGUGAUGGAGUUGGAGGGAGGAAGAACUGAGAUCAGAUUCCUGACCCUAGACCUGUUCCUAGGCCUUUUCAUCUGGAAGUCCAAAUUUACACUGCUUCCUCUGGUUUCUUUUGCUUGCAGUGGAAUGGAGAGCUUGUUGAAAGUAUUUUCUCGUUACGGGCUUUGAGAGGGUGUACGGAUGUGCUGCGGAAUAGCAUUUGGAUAUAAAAAUAAUUUUUGAAAAUUGAAGUAACGGUUUUAAAAUUAGUACUAAUUUUGAGAGUAGCAUGUGCAAGGUGCUGGGAAUGGCAGUUCUACAGCACAGAGAAGACUGGGGAAAUAAACUGAUUAGUAGCAGUUCUUCAGGAAAGGAUUUUGGUGUUACGGUGGUAAAUUGAAUGUGACUCUGCAGUUUUAAAUUAUUGCAAGUAGAAUAGGAGCCAUGCUGGGUUGUAUUUGAAAAUGACUGUAGCCUAGAUGAUGUGUAAAAUAAUGUCUGCUUUGCACAGCAUUCGUAAUGCCACAGUUAUGUCUGUCUUACUGUAUUUUAAAAAGAAAAAAGGGACCAUCUGAAGAAAACUAAAGAGCGAGCCAAAAAAGGUUAGAAAUCCAGACAAGAUAUCAUAGGCCUUAAUGACCGGGAAUUAUUUAGCAGAAGGACAACAUAAUUUGUUCUCCAUGUGGCUGACAGAACAAGAAUUAUUAAGCUUUAAUUACAGCAAAACAGAUCCAUGUAAAUAUUAACAACUUUCUGAUGGUAGAACAGCAAAGCAGAUUUUUGAAUCCUAAUUCUCAGAGGUUUUAAAGUCAGGUUAAAUAAAUACCAGUUAGGAAGGACUUGGAUAUGACACGUAUUUGCUUUGAAAUGAGGCUGAAAUAAUAAAUGACUUCUCAAGACCUUCUGUUUCAGACACAUUUUCUUUGACUGGUAUUCAGCAGGAGCUCCACUGAAAUGUAGCAGCUGAGUCAGUAACCCUUGAACAGAAAAAGAUCCACUGUGUUCUGUUACUUUCACUACCUUUGUCACCAUAUAUCUGAAACUCUUCAGUCCUAAUUUCUUUGCUUCCAGAGAAAUAGUUAAUCUUUGUAGCCAAUAUUACUUCACAGUAACAUGAAACUGCAACAAUAUUGUGGUUUUGUUGCUAAGAUGUAGAGACAGCUCGCUUUUUUUUCUCAAACAAAAGCAAAUAGAUUUAAAAAUGGCAAACAAGUGUCAAAUAAUUCUGUCUCAUAUCAUUAAAUGAAGAUUCAAAGAUAAUAAUCUUGAUAUCAAGACAAAAAUUACAUUUCACAUCAGACUUCUUGCUCUUGAGAGCAUGCUUAAUAUAAAGUUAAAGUAAUUGAGGAGAAUAAAGUAUUUGCAUAAUUAUAUUUUGGAAAUUGUUGUUGUUCAGUCUGUUGAAAUCUCCUGGAACACACAAAUACAUUGCUUUUUGAACCUACUAUUCCCAAUUUUACCUGUUUCAUCUAGAGCAAAUCUCAUUAACACUACCAGUAAGUAUGGGAAAUAUUGUCUGAUGUACUUUGAGAUUAAUUAUGCUUAUGACAAUCUCUCCUUUAUAAGAGAAAGCAAUCCAUUCAAACAAUAGCAGUUCUUUCUGAAUUCACUUCAAAUGUCGUUAUGAUAGAAUGCAAUUUUGGGAAUAAUGCAAAUGUUUCAGUAGCUGGAAGCUAUUUUGUUUUAAUGAGGUAUGCUCUAACAUACCUCAUAUGCUCUGCAGUUUCUACCAUUGGCAUGGUAAAGUAAUACAGAGACAAUGAAUAUGUUUAAAUUUAGUAUUGGUGUAAUUCAUCUGAUGCUAAAACUAAAUUUAGCUAGUUGCUGUAUUUUAUUUAUGCAGAUGACUCAAAAAUAGUUUUUUUCUGCCAAGUGGUACCUUAUAAAGGUUCAGUAUCUAAUUUUAAUUUUCUUAUAGCUAUGAUCUCUAUGUUUAUUGUAAACAGGGAGAGCUUGAUGUUGUAUUUCAGGAAGGAGAAAGCACAGUUCAAUUACGUAUGUGAUCCAAGCCAAAACCUAUUUGCUUGCCAGGAGGCUGAAAAAAGAGGAACUGGUAGCUGUAAUAACAGCUUUAAUUUUCAGAAGCUUCUUGUCUGUAUGCUGGAAGUUUUCCUGUUAUGCCCUACCAUUGGGGACUAACAUGCCCUUCUUUUCCACAUGUAGUGCAAUCUUGUUUUUUCCUGCUGACUGGGGGAUUUAUGUGACGAUAUAAAUAGAAACAAUUUAGCUUAAUUGUGGAUGUGUAUUUCAUUGGUUUUCUCUUGGCUGAUCGUA